GACGAACGCUGGCGGCGUGCUUAACACAUGCAAGUCGAACGGAAAGGCCCUGCUUUUGUGGGGUUCUCGAGUGGCGAACGGGUGAGUAACACGUGAGUAACCUGCCCUUGACUUUGGGAUAACUUCAGGAAACUGGGGCUAAUACCGGAUAGGAGCUCCUGCUGCAGGGUGGGGGGUGGAAAGUUUCGGCGGUUGGGGAUGGACUCGCGGCUUAUCAGCUUGUUGGUGGGGGAGUGGCUUACCCAGGCUUUGAAGGGUAGCCGGCCUGAGAGGGUGACCGGCCACAUUGGGACUGAGAUACGGACCAGACUCCUACGGGAGGCAGCAGUGGGGAAUAUUGCACAAUGGGCGGAAGCCUGAUGCAGCAACGCCGCGUGCGGGAUGACGGCCUUCGGGUUGUAAACCGCUUUCGCCUGUGACGAAGCGUGAGUGACGGUAAUGGGUAAAGAAGCACCGGCUAACUACGUG
rnacentral:rRNA from 1 species